rnacentral:rRNA from 1 species
UAGGGAAUUUUCGUCAAUGGGCGCAAGCCUGAACGAGCAAUGCCGCGUGAACGAGGAAGGUCUUCGGAUCGUAAAGUUCUGUUUGAAGGGGGAAAAAAGAGCGGAGAGAGGAAAUGAACUUCCGAUUGAUAUUACCCUUCGAGGAAGUCACGGCUAACUACGUGCC